UACGUAGGGGGCAAGCGUUGUCCGGAUUCAUUGGGCGUAAAGAGCGUGUAGGCGGCCAGGUAGGUCCGUUGUGAAAACUCGAGGCUCAACCUCGAGACGUCGAUGGAAACCAUCUGGCUAGAGUCCGGAAGAGGAGAGUGGAAUUCCUGGUGUAGCGGUGAAAUGCGCAGAUAUCAGGAAGAACACCCGUGGCUAAGGCGGUUCUCUAGUACGGUACUGACGCUGAGACGCGAAAGCGUGGGGAGCGAACAGG
rnacentral:rRNA from 1 species